CGGUCGCGUUGGCGACGGCUUGGGCGAGUUUUAAAAGAGUUUCCUAGUGGAAAAAAAGAUGCAUGUGUAGGUCCCUUAUGACGUUUAAAAACUACUACGUUCGGAGUAGCCUCCGCAAGAAGCCGAAAACUCGCUAAAUAAAACAUUAUAGCGACUAAAAAAUAUGCGCUUGUUGCGCAGACGUUCAUUAAAACAUAAUAUUUUUGGAGCAUAGAAGACUGGUUCGAGCUAAAGUGUUCCGAAGCCGCUGACCGUACCUGCGUCUCCUGGUCCACCUCGGGCUCACCCAUGUACUCCAGCAGUUGAGCUCCACUUGAGCCCACGUUACCGGCGGCGUUCAGCAGCUGGCUUCGCUUCUAUGGAGACAAAGGGUAAUCGUUAGAAGGCGGUAAAUCUACGCCAGCGGAAGGCUUGGUCACUAUCACCACUGACUGAGGCGGAACUGUGAAAGGAGAUUUCUUCUGAGGCUGCAGUGCUUGGGUCAAGCGAGCCACUACAUUGCAUAGGGACAUUAUUGUUUACCUAGUAAGGAUAACAUAAAUAGGACACUUUACCUCCU